rnacentral:lncRNA from 1 species
UUUUAUUGCUACAGCUUUUUUUCCCAUUGCAAGUUGAACUUUUAAGCCACAUACUUUUAACACCAAACAUACUCUAAAUUGGAUCUCAUAGAUUGCUUUGAAAAAAAAUCGAAGUUCAUGCCUACAUCUAGAGAAUUGUCAACGUGCGGUGCCCAACUUUUUGAGAGGCCGGCCCAACAUUGCCCCACUUGGGCCAUGGCUAGCAAGAGGCCCAUUGCUUUUUCCUUUUUUUUCCUUCCAA